AAUGCACCAGUUUGUAAGUCGCUCUGGAUAAAUAAGAGCGUCUGCUAAAUGACGUAAA
rfam:Salmo salar isolate Sally breed double haploid chromosome ssa24, whole genome shotgun sequence.